GACAGAGGCCUCGAGCGUUUAGGCGGAAUCACUGGGCUUAAAGCGUGUGUAGGCGGAUCGUUAAGUACCUUGUGAAAUCCCACGGCUCAACCGUGGAACGGCUGGGUAUACUGGCGGUCUUGGGCCAUUCAGGGGCGACUGGAACAAGCGGUGGAGCGGUGAAAUGCGUAGAUAUCGCUUGGAACGCCGAAGGUGAAAACAGGUCGCUGGGGAUGUGCCGACGUGAGACACGAAAGCCAGGGGAGCAAACGGG
rnacentral:rRNA from 1 species